rnacentral:rRNA from 1 species
UACGUAGGGUGCGAGCGUUAAUCGGAAUUACUGGGCGUAAAGCGUGCGCAGGCGGCGCGUUAAGACAGGUGUGAAAGCCCCCGAGCUUAACUUGGGAAUUGCGCUUGUGACUGGCGUGCUGGAGUGUGGCAGAGGGAGGUGGAAUUCCACGUGUAGCAGUGAAAUGCGUAGAGAUGUGGAGGAACACCGGUGGCGAAGGCGGCAUCCUGGGACCGGUAUUGACGCUGAGGCGCGAAAGCUAGGGGAGCAAACGGG